GCUGUUGAGACAAAUGAAAAAACCUUGGAUCAGCAUAAGGCAUAUAUUGCUGAACAACAAAGAGAGGUUGAGCGAGUUCGUCAAAGAGAAAAACUUCUAGUCAAGGCUGAGACCAUGAAAAAGAAAGUGCCAUGGAUAAAGUAUGACAUGAUGAAGGCAACAUAUUUGGAAGCCAAUGAAAAGGAGAAAGAUGAAAAGAAAAAACUGGAUUAUUAGUCAAUCAGGUUAUUUUGAAUGUCAGGAAGAGUUGUUUCAGGUGAAAAAAGCAAGAGAAAGGCAAUCUUAAUGCCAAACUUGAAAAGAUUGCUGGUCGUGUUGAUGUGAAUGCCCAAAAGCGCAUCACUACUCUGGGGGAGGCAGAAUCCUGGGUUAAAACAAAUUCAGGGUAAAAAUAUGAAACUUCUACAAGCAUUGAAAAGUUCCGGAUGUGACAAAAUAUUUGAAGCUUAUGAUUGGGUGCAAAGUCAUCGCGAAGAUUUUGAUAAGGAUGUUUAUGGUCUUGUGCUGUUGGAGGUACACACGAAAGCCUUGAUUAUAUAGUUUACUUAUUAUUGCUUUUUUCACAAUUAACUUCAUUUAAGUCUUUCUAAGCACAAACUCAGGUUAAUGUACCAACUACUUAGAAGGUCAUGUUCCUAGCUACAUUUGGAAGGUAGUUUUAUUUAAAUAUUAAUGUUUUAUUGUUUGGACUCCAUAUUUCUUUUUUCUUUGACGUCAAAAUCAAGGUUUUUGUUGAUAGUUCCAUUCAUAUAUUUUCUCCUCUUAAAAAAAAUUUCUUGUCAAAUCUUCUUUUUUUUCUUGCUUGGGAAACCCCAUGUAUGCUUGUUUCAUUUUUCAGUAAAGAAUAUAGUGAAGUAACUGCUUUAUAUCAUGCUUAUUAACUAUUGAAUUAGGCUAGAAACUGUUGAAAAUAUGACAGUUGUAAAUAUAUUGAUGAACAAGGUAGUGGGAGUGGAGACAUUACUAGCUCGAUUCCUCUGCUUGUGAAUGUUAAGACUGAUCUUCAUGAACCAAACUCUCAGGCUCAGCACUCUGGUCCUGGUCCUGGUCUUGCUCCUGGUUCUUGGAUAUAUUUGGACUAUAUUUACUAUUAUUAUUAUCUUUUCUUACCUAGUAUUGGAAGAGAUUUUAUUUUAAUGAUGGAAGUAAACUUUUAAACCUUUUUAUAGGAUAAGAUCUUUGACAGGUAAUUAAUUAAAUGUAUUAUUUUGUAAAAAGGUAUUGGAUAAUUUUCUAUUUCUAAGUAUGCUCUCUUCCACUGACAUUUUCAUAUUUUCAUUAUAUGACAAAGGAUAUUGGCUAAUCGCUAGUCUGCUACUUGCUCAAAGGAGAGGAAAGCUCGCUAUAUACAAGAACUUGAGCAAAAAGCGAAAAGUUCAGACUCUUCAAACAGGAGCAACAAGCUCAGUUACGUGACGGUAAGUAUGUAGUCUACUGCAUUAUUUUUUAGUCCUAAAAUAAUGUUUCAUUUUUAAUGCCAUAUCUUAUUGGUGUCAUCUAAAAUGUUAUACAUCACUGAAUGAAAAACUUAAGAAGGAAGUUGAGAGGCUAAAGAUUGCCACAGGGGAGAUGAUGAACCAUUUUGAAUCAUUUAACAUGGGAAUGCAUCAAAUGUCAUAUAAUUCAUCAAAUUAUUUUCCAGCCAUCUAAUGAUAUUUAUUUUUUCCUUUCCACCCAUACACCACAUAUAAUGAUUUUCUUUUACGAUUGUCUUUUAAACUGUAGAUAUUAGUCUCUAGUUUACUACUAACCUUAGUUUAAAGAACUAAAACUUUUAAAUUGAAAUUGACAAGUACGUAUUCCUUAGUUUAAAGAACUAAGACUAACUACUUAAGCCAUGACGCCAUAAGAAAAAUACAACUUUUAUAUAAAUCAUUUUUGUGACUGAAAACCACAUUCAUCCUUUUUAUUUCUUCUAUAACCUCAAGUUCUCUAUUUAUUUUAGUUUUGGUUUGACUUUAAUAGUGUUUAUUCUGUAUUGUGGGCUAAAACUCUACUUGGAUAUUUAAGAGAACCAAGACAAUUAUAUAAGAGAACUAAGGCAACAAGAAAUUCUUCUUCAAGUUGUUGGGUAUUAUUUUCUUUCUUGCUUGUAAGAAUUAUGUACAUUGAGGAUUUGAUGUAUUAUUUACAUUGAGAAUAAUGAAUUUUUAUUGAGAAUUAUUUAUUCUCAUGGGGAUUUGAUGUAUUAUUUACAUUUUAAUUGUAUGAAUAAAUGUAUAUGUAUAUGAAUU